GUAGAUGGGAUCUUGGACUGCUGCACCGUCCGCGCUUCAGUUGAAUGCGGAAUCAUUUUUUCUUGCUCGUUGCCGUCUGUAGGUGUUCUGGGCGGAUGCGUGUUCUGCUUGCGGCCCUUUAUAUUGUUAUUUUCUGGGAGUUUGAGUGACGCUCCGUCCCCAUCUGGUUGCGGAAGUGAAGCGCUUUCGUUCGUUACAUGCCCAUCGGCAGGUGGCGUUUAGAUUUGUGGGACUACCAAUCGCCCGGGUCAACGUUACCAGAAUAGCGGACGCCGGACAGGAACCAUCCGGCCGCUUUCGGGAGCAGGUGCUUCUCCCUGGCUUGAAGUCAGGUGUUCUGGGCGGAUGCGUGUUCUACUUGCGGCCCUUCAUAUUGUUAUUUUCUGGGAGUUUCAGUGACGCUCCGUCGCAAUCUGGUUGCGGAAGUGAAGCGCUUUCGUUCGUUAUCUGCCAAUCGGCAGGUGGCGUUUAGAUUUGUAGGACUACUACCAGAAUAGCGGACGCCGGACAGGAACCAUCCGGCCGCUUUCGGGAGCAGGUGAUUCUCCCUUGCUUGAAGCCAGUGAGCGUGCGGACAUGUUGGUGCCUGGAGUGGUGAAUGAAUGUCCAGUAAACGCUGUGAUUGACACAGGAUCCGCCGCUACAUUGUCAGAGGAUUUUGCCGACCGCCUAUAUAAGGAGCUGGAAAAGGAAACCUCUGACCAAGGCCCGAAGUCAAUUGGUGCCAACGGACAACCACCGCCGCCAGAGACGAGGAGGACACAGUUCGGGUAUUUGACAGUGCUCCGCCAGUUGGCGUGAUGGAAAGGCGAACCCCGCGUUCCCGCUAUCCGCCCCAGCUGUUUGGGAGUCCUGUGUGGCACGAGUAAGUGACUUCAGUGGUACUGACUGGAUUGGUUGUGUUCGAUAUUACAGUUAGUUUUUGGAAAAAUGUUGGUAGGGACUCCAAUUUGACCUGCACUCGUUUAGUCUAAAUUGUUACCUAUACUCGUAGUCUAAUUUAUUAAGUUACUUAUAACACGAGGACGUGUUCUUUUUUCCGUGUAAGCGGGGGAUAUGUCGUAUCCAUACUAUUGACACGUGCCUUUUAGGCCUCUACGUGACAUGUCUGCCUUAUUUAGGUGUCUAAUUAUUUAUUUAUCUCCCGUAAACGGAUUCCUAAUCGCCUUUAUUUUAUGUCUUCACACAAAGUCUGGCACCUUCCUUAUUUGUUAUACCCUGUUUUUCCUUAGCUGGCUUCCGCUCUUUGUGAUACAGUUUAUACACAUUAUUGCUAAGUUUUGGUACACUGCGGCAUGCGGGUGUACUAUGGUUCAUUAUUUGUCCUAUAGUUCGCAGCCUCCUGCCCGUAGUUAGAUAUUAUGGCAAUCGCCUUCUCUCUCUCUCUCUCUC